rnacentral:rRNA from 1 species
CCUACGGGUGGCUGCAGUGGGGAAUAUUGGACAAUGGGCGAAAGCCUGAUCCAGCAAUGCCGCGUGAGUGAUGAAGGCCUUAGGGUUGUAAAGCUCUUUUACCCGGGAUGAUAAUGACAGUACCGGGAGAAUAAGCUCCGGCUAACUCCGUGCCAGCAGCCGCGGUAAUACGGAGGGAGCUAGCGUUGUUCGGAAUUACUGGGCGUAAAGCGCACGUAGGCGGCUUUGUAAGUCAGAGGUGAAAGCCUGGAGCUCAACUCCAGAACUGCCUUUGAGACUGCAUCGCUUGAAUCCAGGAGAGGUGAGUGGAAUUCCGAGUGUAGAGGUGAAAUUCGUAGAUAUUCGGAAGAACACCAGUGGCGAAGGCGGCUCACUGGACUGGUACUGACGCUGAGGUGCGAAAGCGUGGGGAGCAAACAGGAUUAGAUACCCCAGUAGUC